GGAAGAAGUGCUGACUGAGAUGACUUUUCUCCUCUCUUCACUGUGGAGAGGUACUGUUUGGAUACAUUCUAAGACCUUUAUGCAGGGAUUUUACUGUUUCACCGCUAGCCGGUGGCAAAGGGAAUUACAUUUUUUUCUUCCCUUCCUCUGCAAUAUUCCUGCAGGUUUUGUGCUGUUCCCUGUCCUUUUUGUGCUUUGUUCUGUGCAUCCAGAUCAAAGCCCUGCUUGGGGAUAAUGCCAGACCCUUGUUCCCUCCAGCAUUCAUCACUCACCUACUGAUGCAGGGAGAUGUAGCUCCACUCUCCUCACUCCUAAGCAUUCCUACUGCUGGUACUGUUUCUCUACCUUCUGCUUUAAAUAAGGACUUACAACAGGUCUGAGCUCAUCAAUCACACCCAAACUAUAUUUUUCAAAUUACUUUUAUGAUGUCUUCCUCCUGCAACUCUUUUCACAGCCCCAGCUCAGUUCUCAACACGCAGGCUUUGUUUCUAUGUAAGAAUGGAACUGACAAAGCAAGAGAAGAGGGGAAAUAUGGAAAGACAGACCAACAUUGAAAGCAAAGUGCGUGUAGAGCACAUUUAAUGUUAUACUACUUGGCCAGAGGACUGCUGGCAAAGACACUGCAUUAAAUGAAAUAAAGGCCAUUUACCCUAGAAAGUUAACAGGCAUGGGACAGACAAGUAGGAGCCUUUUCAUUCUCUUGGGGUUUAUUGUAUCCACCAGCUGCUGGGGUUGCUUUCCUGCCCACAGCCUAGGUUUGCCCAGUGUUGGCCCUUGGCCUGGCUGGAAGUCCCAGGGGUAUCCUAUGAGACAGGAGGUUGUGAUAUGAAACCUCAGAUUCUUUGCAGACACACUGAGGUGCCUGAAAGUGCAGAGUGGCACUUCUUAAAGGACACUGAGUAAGUGUAGGGAGAGAGGAAAGAAAUGCCCAGCUUGGGGAUUGAGUCUGACCGACUUGGAAACUUUGAGAACUCCCCUCCCCCUUCUUCCCAUCUAGGACUCCUAAAUAUGUUGGAAAAAUCUGCUCCAGAGUAACUAUCACUUCAGUGGAGCAUUUCUGUCUGCCCAGCAUUGAGAAAGGAGUCUCAGCGAAGUCCCCUCUUGCUAUGUGAAACUGCUGCCAUACCAUACCAUUACAGCAUGAGGGAUGCAUGGGUCCUGGGAAGACAAAUUUCUUCUCCAGCUGCAUGUCUCAAGCUGAUGUUGCUUUGCAGUGGGGCUGUCAACAGCAGCUGGAGAUCCUUGAUCCUGGGAAAAGAUAUGUUGGUUGCUUGGGUUGGUUUUAACUAUUUAAUGCUUUGUUGGCAGCCUGAUGUGUUACAACACAGCUUGGAGAUGAGAUGGGACACUGUCUUGGAGCUUGAGGUCUGCCUGUCCGAGCCCAGGAAGAUGGAUGGGUUUGCAGUGUUGUUUGAAAGCUGCACCGACCUGACCAAAAAUGGCCAUCUCAAAAAAUGAACUCUCUUCCAUGAAGGACUCUAUGAUAUCAUGAAGGACUCACUAUGAUAUGGUGAGCUUCAAGCAAUUGCAGUUGCUGAUCACUUAAAGAAAUGUAGAGGUGCUUGAGAUAGAUAAAUUCUAAUAAAGGUGGCUUUCCUGGAGGUCGUUUUCAGCCUUGACAAAAACAAAGAGCUAAAUUAUUUUCACUGAUGUUUAUACUAAAGAGAGCAGUUACUUGUUACAGUUGGAAAAGAUUAGAGUGGUGGAAGCGCAAUACAAAAAUGUAACAGAGGAUUUGAGCAGUUUACAAAUAGGUAACUGCCACCAAACUCAACAACACUGGGAUGAAGCCUCUGUCUUCCACAGACAGAUAUUUUGUGUUUGCACUGGCUGUGCUAGCAGAGUGCUAGCAUACUUUUUCCUCCAAGAACCCCAUUGGCUUUAGCAAAAUCAAAUUGACAUUCUUCAUCUUUUCCUAGUGGGGAAACAGAUUGUGUCUCAAUGCUUUGUGAGCACAAAGGUCCAAUAAAACUGCAUGAUUGCAAGGGAAGGGAUAUCCUGACAGAGAGGGAAUGCUAUUAAUAUUUAUCUUCUUAAUACUUUCUUUCUUUCUGUAAACUAACCCAAAAGCAGAUUGUGCUGUUAGGUAUCCUCUCACUUAUCGCUGUUCAAGCUGCUUUUCCUUGCUCAUUUUCUCCCUUUGAGGCAUGCUAUUGAUGUGAAAUUUGUUGUCAUAUUCAGGCCUGUUAACUAUGCUAGUUAACAAAGGAGAGCAUUCAAAAGCUGGCUUAGAGAGACUUUUUCCCCUCCUUUUUAAAUGGAAACCAGCUUCCUAGCAAACCAUAUAAAGAAUCUGCUCCCUUGAAACCAGUAUGAGGCAACAGCAGCAGUUGCAGCUAGUUGCAACAUCUUGUCUUGCUAGAUGGAGGCACACUGUGUUACAAGUGGGGCUGCUAGCAAAACUUCAGUGUAGGAGCCCUUCUGUGAUCUGUCUAGUUGGGACCUGCAAACUUGUCUGAGCUGAGCUAAGGACCCAAUUUUGCUUGGUUUUUGUAAAGAAUAAGCCUCAAAUAGCCAAACUAAAUUCAAUGAAACUAAACUUCUGUAAUCCUAGACCUGAAUUUGAUAGAACUUGGACCAAAAGAUUACUUUUACUGGAAAUUGGGUCAAACUUUGACCCCAAGCAAGCAGAGCUUUCUGAUUUUGAACACCUUUUUGGUAUUCACUUGAGAAAGUCAGAGACAGCGAUGAAACAGCAAAUCAGCGUCAGUGUGUAACAGUGUCACCUAAUUCCUAAAUGCAAAACCAAAUUGUAAUAUAAAAUAAAAUGUAAUAUAAAAAUCAGACCACUGCUGUGAUGUAAUUGAGAACACAAAUACUGUAUCAUUCUUUAUAAUCAUGUGUGGUUGUAAAUUCCUUUGGGAAGGAUUUGAAACCAUUUUUAAGUCUGAUCCAAGCAGUGCUUACAGCAGAGGACUUGGUACCUGUAUGGGAACUGUUGAGUCGUGGCCUGAACCACUGAUUGAGCACCUGAGGAAAGGACUGGGUCAGCCCUGGGAGCACCGGACUGCCACUGGGGAAGAAUCUCCUUCUGGAGGUCCCUCCUCUGUGGGUGGAAUCUUUCUUGCAAACUGAGAUCUUUGGAUACAGCGGCAAGAAGGAGCCCUGACUGUGGUGCCAGCACAACAGCAGACGGCAGGGGAGGAAAUCGAGGCAAGCACCUCUGAUGCACAUGUGGAUGGUUGAUACUAUUCUUAUCCUGAUUCACCACUCCUGAGAAUAGCUGACUAAGAGGUUGUAUAAGAUAACCUUCGGCAGAGCUGGAAAUGGACAUGACUUUCGGACCUCUUAUCAAACUGCUUCUCUGCACCAUGUUGUUUCUGUGCCUGGCUGGCACCACCACUCCCUCUGCAGACCAGAGAACAUGGGAUGGCCUCUUCCUGCAGCUCCUCCUCUCCCAGCCCUUCUAGGCCCCUUCAGCAAGAGGUGGGUUCUGCCUCUUCCUGGCAGAGGCACAGCCUUGCCAGCUUAGCUUUGGGAUGCAAGAGUGCUGUGCUAAAGGCAGGUGCCAGGCAGCAGCCAUCAUCCAUUGCCCUAAACCAGCAGUGCUUAGAGCUUUGCUGACAGAAGCUGAUACACUCUACAGGUAAAUUCAACAUGCAUGAAAGGAUUCUUGUUCUUCUUCAACAUAGAGCAUAAAGACAGAUUUCAGACAAAUUAAUCUCUCAUAGCUUUCUUUUCAACAGCACUGAGCUGUUAUUUUUCUUGGGCUUUGCCAGAGCGUCCAAUUUAUCUGUUGUUCCCCUAAACAGACAGAUUUGCUUAUCUGGAUGAUACAGGAUCUUUCAUCAGGAAGAAAGAGGCUGAGAUGCCCUCACCAGCCUUUUGCUGUUGUUAUGUCCUUGCUGAGCUCCAGAGCUCUGGGUAGAGAUGGAAGGAAGGUGUACCUGUGGUGACUGUUUUUUUUAUUGUAGCUCUAUGGUGUUGUAAAAGCAUUAAUUCCUCCCAGGCAUAUAAUAAGAUUCCAAAACUAUUCAGAGAAAGAAAUCUGAAUGUCCCUUCCCAGGCUGUGGAGGAAAAACAGCUGACAAAACAAAAAAACAUGCUAGUAUGGAACUUCAAGAGUUCAAGUUUUAGGAUGUUACUCCUUGUUCUGCUACUACACUCCACUGAGAAGAGCCUGGCCUUGUCCACGUGCCUCCCACCUCCCUUUAGGUAUUCAUAAACAUGAAUCAGAUCUCAGUCUUCUUUUCCCCAGGCUGAACAGCCUCAGGUCUCUCAGCCAUUUCUCAUAAAGGAGAUGCUCCAGGCCCCGUAUCGUCUUUGUGGCCCUCUGCUGCACUCCUGUCUUUUUUGAGCUGGGGAGCCCAGAACUGGACACGGUUCAAAAAAGACAGGUUUUCCCUGCGGUGUUUUCAGCACCAGGACUAAUGCCUGCAAAUGCCUGUCCAUUUGUACGUCCUUGCAUAGACCAUUAAGUUCAUUGUUUCAUUUUCAUGAACUACAACUUUGCAAAUCAUAAACCCUCUACAGCACUAAGCCAUGUCACUGUUUGCAUAGGCUCUAAUGUCUUGUUGUAUGAUGUUUGGGAUUCUGGUGUUAAAAAUUUCCUUUGUCUAGGAGGAGCUUAGGUUUGCAUAAUAGUCUUGUCACAUCUGCAAGAACUCAUAGAAUCAUUAAGAUUGGAAAAAAGCCUCUAAGAUCAUCAUGUGCAACUGUCUUCCUACCACCAAUGUUGCCCAUUAACCCACGUCUCUCCGUGCCACCUCUCCAUGGUUCUUGAGCACCUCCAGGGACAGUGACUCCACCAGCUCCCUGGGCAGCUGUGCCACUGCAUCACUGCUCUUUCAGAGAAGAAAUGUUUCCUAACACCCAACCUGAACCUUCUCUGGCACCACUUGAAGCCAUCAGCUCUAUCACUCCUAUCUGGCUCUCCUUUCAGAGUUGCAAGAGAGCAAUAAGAUCUUCCCUUCCCCAGACUGAACAAUCCCAGUUCCCUCAGCUGGUCCCCAUCACG